rnacentral:lncRNA from 1 species
CCCGCCCCCGUGUAUGGUCCCCCUGCACCAGUCUACGAUGCACCUGAACCAUGUUAUCCUAAGACUGUCUUCAAAACGCACUACCAAACGCAAAUCCAACAGGUUCCUGUUUACUCAACGGUGUUCAAGCCAGAGUACAUACCUACCACCUUCUACCAAACUCAGUACCAGACUAUCUACAGUACCCAAGUAGUACCAGAAUACGUACCUCAAUACGUGACUGAAACCCAGUACGUUGACAGAUAUGUCACCCAGACCCAGUAUGACACCCAGUACAUCACCGAGACCCAGUACCAGGCCCAGUAUGUAACACAAACCCAGUACGCUACAGAGUACAUCACCCAGUUCAAGCCCCAGUAUGUAACGGAAACCCAGUACCAGCCUGUGUACUCUACUGUAGUCCAGCCCCAGAUUGUGUACAAAACAAAGUAUGUUGACAAGCCUGCGUACCCCUCCAACUCCUACGGACCUCCUCGUGGAGGUUUCUACUAAUGCAUCACGCAUUAGUAAUACGCAUAAUACGCAUAUCAGCCUCGCAUACUUCAUCCGUAUGCACGGAAUGCAACCAGUGCCUUCAUAACAAAUUUCUUCAUACGGACCUCUUCCUGAACCUUGUAAUUAAUGCUCACAAGUUUCCUCUCUUUUGCACCGUAUUUUUAAUACCAAAAUGCGACCUCUCUUCAUACGGAACAUUUAGUAAAAAAAUCCCGCAUUCCAAGUUAUAUCAUACGGACCUCUCUUUGGACCCUGUUAUAAUGUCCACAUGCCCGUGUUAUAAUGGACCGUGUAGUAUUAAUAUUUACAAACACAAUCGAACGAUUUUUUUAACAUAUUAACGUUAAAUCGACUAAGGGUUUCGUGCCCGAAUAUAUCAUGACGAGACCGACAUGCGAGAAAACAUUGACAAUAUAAAAUAAUUGGCUGCAUUUUCUCUGCAAGCUAAAAAAAUAGAUUUAAACGAAAUUGAACGACGAUUAAAGAAAUAUAGAAUAAUACUUUUAUGUCAAAUUUUGCCUAGAAUAAUGCUUUUGCAUUUAUAUGUGACAAUCAAAGACGAUAAUUAUAGAAUUUGGUAGUAACUUUCUUGUUAUACAAUUUUCUUAAUCCACAAAUUGAACGUUGAUAAAUAAUUCCAGUCUGUUUCUGCGGCAUCAUGUUAAUAAGAUAUUAUUUAUCUAGAUUCUUCAAUAGAUACAAUAAUAUCGUGGAUUACCCUAUAAAAUAGAUAUCUAAUAUUUAUUAAACGUCGAUUUUUAAUCUGCUUUA